ACAUGUCUUUUUGGUUAUUUAAUAUAAAGUCUGACCUGCCCACUGAAUAUAGUUUUAAAGGGCCGCAGUAUUUUGACUGUGCAAAGGUAGCAUAAUCAUUAGUCUUUUAAUUGAAGGCUGGUAUGAAUGGUUGGAUGAGGUACAAGCUGUGUCAUAAAAAUUAAUAUUUGAAUUUACCUUUUUAGUCAAAAGGCUAAAAUUUUAUUAAAAGACGAGAAGACCCUAUAGAGCUUUAUAUAAUUAAUAUUUAGAUUAUUAAUAUUUUUUAAAUUUAAUUAUUUUAUUAUAUUUUGUUGGGGUGACAAUAAAAUUUAUAAAACUUUUAUUAUUAUUAUUCAUUAAUUUAUGUUUAAAUGAUCCAAUUUUAUUGAUUAUAAAUUUAAGUUACCUUAGGGAUAACAGCGUAAUUUUUUUUGAGAGUUCUUAUCGACAAAAAAGAUUGCGACCUCGAUGUUGGAUUAAGAGUAAUUUUGGGUGUAGAAGUUCAAAAUUUAAGUCUGUUCGACUUUUAAAUU
rnacentral:rRNA from 1 species